UUGAUAUAGAGCAGACCUAACCCACUCUAUUAAAUGAGUCAAAACAGGAACAUUUUACAUCUGGCUAGAAAUGAAUAAGAAAAUUAUCUCAACAGAGAUAAAUGUCCUCAUGUGUGCUACCUUUGACGAUGACAGCUUUAACCAUCCUAGAUGGGCAGAUUUCCAGGCCCAGGGACAUGUAAUAGUGUGUGGUGAUCUUAAUGCCAGAACUGGACAAGAACCUGACACCCUCAGCACACAGGUAGACAAACACCUACAUGGAGGCGACAACAUUUCCUCCCCCCAGACACAACUAUGACAACAUAACCAACAAAAACAAGUCACAACUCCUGCAGCUCUGUCGGAUGCUGGGUAUCUACAUAGUCAAGAGUAGGCUUUGAGGGGAAUCCUAUGGUAGGUACACCUAUAGCUCAUCUUUUGGCAAUAGUACUGUAGACUACUUUAUCACUGGCCUCAACCCAGAGUCUCUUAGACCAUUCACAGUCAGCCCACUGACACCCCUAUCAGAUCACAAAAUUACACUCUACUUGAACAGAGCUUUGCUCAAUCAUAAGGCAUCAAUGCCAAAGGACCUGAACAAUAUUAAGAAAAGCUAUAAAUGGAAGGAGAGUAGUGUGGAAAUCUACCAAAAAACAAUUAGGCAACAACCAAUUCAAUCCCUUCUCGACAAUUUCCUUGACAAAAGGUUUCACUGUAAUAGUGAUUGUGUAAACCUGGCAGUAGAAAACCUAAACAGUAUAUCUGACCUAUGAAAGGACCGACGCUGGAGAUGAGAAGCAGGUACGGGGAGUUGAACACAUAAUGAGGAACAGACAGGUAACAAGACAGGACCCGGGUCAGCACACGGGUAACAACGACAUAUGAACAUUAAUGCAGCAUGGAGGAACAGACAGGUAACAAGACAGGACCAGGGUCAGCACACGGGUUACAACGACAUAUGAACAUUAAUGCAGCAUGGAGGAACAGACAGGUAACAAGACAGGACCAGGGUCAGCACACGGGUUACAACGACAUAUGAACAUUAAUGCAGCAUGGAGGAACAGACAGGUAACAAGACAGGACCAGGGUCAGCACACGGGUAACAACGACAUAUGAACAUUAAUGCAGCAUGGAGGAACAGACAGGUAACAAGACAGGACCAGGGUCAGCACACGGGUAACAACGACAUAUGAACAUUAAUGCAGCAUGGAGGAACAGACAGGUAACAAGACAGGACCAGGGUCAGCACACGGGUAACAACGACAUACGAACAUUAAUGCAGCAUGGAGGAACAGACAGGUAACAAGACAGGACCAGGGUCAGCACACGGGUAACAACGACAUAUGAACAUUAAUGCAGCAACGAGGAACAGACAGGUAACAAGACAGGACCAGGGUCAGCACACGGGUAACAACGACAUACGAACAUUAAUGCAGCAGCGAGGAACAAACCUGGGGAACUGGCACAUAUAGGGGAGGUAAUAAACAGGGGAUUGAGUCGAGGUGAGUCCAAUAAUCGAUGAUGUGCAUGACGGGGGGAAGGCAGGUGUGUGUACUGAUGGUGGCAGGAGUGCGUAAUGCUGGGGAGCCUGGUGCCUUCGAGCCCCAGGGAGGGGGAGCGGGAGAAUGCUUGACACUCUCAGCUUCCCUAUCAAAUCAAAACAUUUCAAGCAGACAACCUAAGAAAAUUAACAAUGACAAAUGGUUUAAAGAAGAAAGCAAAAACUUAAGAAAGAAAUUGAGAAACCUAUCCAACCAAAAACAUAGAGACCCAGAAAACCUGCGUCAACGCCGUCGCUAUGGUAAUCACUAAAACAAUACAGAAAUACUCUAUGGAAAAAGAAAGAACAGCACGUCAGAAAUCAGCUCAAUGUAACUGAAGAAACCAUCAAAUCCAUGUAAUCAAACGUGUUGUUAAAAUUGGCAAAAAACCACCACAUUUCUUUCCACAGAGCUGAGGGGUGAGACAGGGAUGCAGCUUCAGCCCUCUUCCACAUAUAUAUCAACGAAUUGGCGAGGGCACGAGAACAGUGUGCAGCACCCAACCUCACCCUGCUAGAAUCUGAAGUCAAAUGUCUACUGACGAUCUGGUGCUUCUGUCACCAAACAAGGAGGGCCUACAGCAGCAACUAGAUCUUCUGCACAGAUUCUGCCAGACCUGGGACCCUGUCAGUAAGACAAAAAUAAUGGUGACCCAGGACCACGAAUACAAA